AACGCAUCUUGCACCCUUUGGCGUUCCUUAGGGUAUGCCUGUUUGAGCGUCUUUAACGACAUCGACUCCACCCUGGAGCGGGGACGCCCCUCCGUUGGACGUCGGACGUGAGCGCUGCCGUGAUUCGUUUCGUCGGCUCGCUCGAAAAGCCUCGAGCUCGAUCUUCAGCGGUCCCGUUCCGUCGGGUUGGCGUGAUAGAGCUCCCACGAGUCGCGAAUCGCCUCUCGACGGACGGACGUGACCUUUGGACGGUCGAGCUUAGAGACGGGCCCACCACGCCUCGGUGGCGCCCCUUGAAUAUGACCUCAAAUCAGGUAGGGCUACCCGCUGAACUUAA
rnacentral:misc_RNA from 1 species